UAUUUCCCUCCAUAUUUCCACCUUCCCCUCUUCUCCCAUUUUCUUAGUUAGAAACUUCCAUUUUCAGAGCUAUAUAUUCACCGUAUUAUUCCUCUUGGAGAGAUGAAAUCCUGGUGAGCAUUAGCCUGAUGAUGCAGAGCAUGAACGUACUUCACAGGUGGAUGUAAGAGGAUCAUCGGCGGAUAACAAUGCAAAUCACCAAUCAAAUGCUUAAUGUUUUCGUUGUGGACUACUUUUGCUUUCUAGGAAUUUAAAUUCGUAAUGGUUGUCUAGACUUGUAUUUAUAUUGCUUUAGUUAAUGCUUAAUGUUUUCGUUGUGGAUUGCUUUUGCUUUCUAGGAAUUUAAAUUUGUAAUGGUUGUCUA